UCAAUAAGCGGAGGAAAAGAAACUAACAAGGAUUCCCCUAGUAACGGCGAGUGAAGCGGGAACAGCUCAAAUUUGUAAUCUGGCGGCCUUCGGUUGUCCGAGUUGUAAUCUGGAGAAGCGUUUUCAGUGCCGGCCCGCGUACAAGUCCCCUGGAACGGGGCGUCGCAGAGGGUGAGAAUCCCGUCUCUGACGCGGUCAUGCCGGCGCGCUGCGAUGCGCUCUCGAAGAGUCGAGUUGUUUGGGAAUGCAGCUCAAAACGGGUGGUAAAUUCCAUCUAAAGCUAAAUACUGGCGAAAGACCGAUAGCGAACAAGUACCGUGAGGGAAAGAUGAAAAGCACUUUGGAAAGAGAGUCAAACAGUACGUGAAAUUGUUGAAAGGGAAACGCUUGAAGUCAGUCGCGUCUCCCGGGACUUCAGUCGCGCUCUCAAAGGCGCGGCGUACUUCCCGGGUCUGGACGGGCCAGCGUCGAUUUCGACCGUCGUACAAAGGCGUGAGGAACGUGGCACCUCGGGGUGUGUUAUAGCCUCGCGUUCCGUAUGCGACGGUGGGGAUCGAGGGACGCAGCGCGCCUCUAACGGUCGGGUUCGCCCACGUAACGCGCUUGGGAUGCUUGGCUUAAUGGCUUUAA
rnacentral:rRNA from 1 species